rnacentral:lncRNA from 1 species
AGGUAGCAGGCAGAAAGGGGGAGAGAUCCAGCAAGAUCUCAAAGCCUAUGACACACCCAGUGACACACCUUCUCCCACAAAGCCAUACCUCUGAAUCCUUCUCACACAUUUCCACUGCCUGUAGACUAAGCAUUUAUAUAUAUUCAAGGCUUUCACAUUCAGACCAUCACAGUGAGUCUGGUGUGAAUGAGUGGCCUUCUGUCUAGCACUACAGGACCAUGAAUUUGAUGGAAUCCUUGUCAUUUGCAGCUCAGUACUGCUCAAUUCUGGAUUCUAAGCCAGGGUUUCACUUGCUGGAAGAAGGUGGGGAGGACAUAUGCAGUGUGUGUGGAUGGUCUGUGUAUGUGUGGCAUAUGUAUGACAUAUGUAUGGGGUGUAUGAUAUGGGAUGUGUGUGUGUAUGCAUGGCAUAUGUGGUGUGUGUGGAUGGAGUAUGCGGGGCAUGUGUGUGUAUGUGUGUGUAUAUGUGUGUGGGUGGUAUAUGAUAGUGUGUGUGUUGUGUUUGGUGUAUGCAAGGUAUAUGCAGUGUGUGUGGAUGGUAUGUGUGUAUAUGUGUGUGGAGGGUAUAUGUUGUGGUGUGUGUGUGUGUGUGUGUGUGUGUGUGUGUGUGUGUGUGUGUAUGCAUGUGUGUGUUGGGGGGAGGAGGAGUGUUAAGAUGGAUCUGGGGCCUGUACAAUCUGGGCCAACCCUGAAGUGUGGAUUUUCCUGCCUACCCUUUUCCACGCCACACUAAGAUUACAGGUGUGAGGUUUGACACCCGAUCAUAAAGUAGUUUUUUUUAGCAGGUACUCGGUGACUACUUCUCAUACAAGCUACAGGAGCUGCCUCUGCUGUGCUUGGUGCUGCAGGCUGGUGACCAGGAGCAGAGGGAAGCAAGGGUAUGUAAACAUGAAGGCUUCCAGGAGAAAGCUCUCAUCCUGCCAGCUGGAGGAGCGCUUGGACAUGGUUUACCCAAACAGUCAUUGCCAUGGAGACAAGGAAGUCUGAAGUGCUGUUGCCAGCAGCAUCCAGCAUGGCUCCAAUGUGGGAAAAGACUUGGCUUCAUGGGUCCUCAGAGAGACGAUCUGAAACUCACCGAGAGCGGGGAGCUGGAGCUGAGGGGCUGGCGGACUCUCUCAGCCCAAGCACAGCCAAGCCUCAUGCAGCUGCCCAAUUCUGGAUCCCUGGGCCAGCCUCUCGCAGCAGGGGGUAGAGAGGCCAAGCAUUUUUGGUUAAGCAGGCCACAGCCAAGUUGCUCAUUAAAAAAAAAAAAAAAAAAAAAAGUCUA